rnacentral:rRNA from 1 species
UACACUCCUACGGGAGGCAGCAUUGGGGAAUAUUGGACAAUGGGCGCAAGCCUGAUCCAGCCAUGCCGCGUGAGUGAUGAAGGCCCUAGGGUUGUAAAGCUCUUUCACCGGUGAAGAUAAUGACGGUAACCGGAGAAGAAGCCCCGACUAACUUCGUGCCAGCAGCCGCGGUAAUACGAAGGGGGCUAGCGUUGUUCGGAUUUACUGGGCGUAAAGCGCACGUAGGCGGACUAUUAAGUCAGGGGUGAAAUCCCGGGGCUCAACCCCGGAACUGCCUUUGAUACUGGUAGUCUUGAGUUCGAGAGAGGUGAGUGGAAUUCCGAGUGUAGAGGUGAAAUUCGUAGAUAUUCGGAGGAACACCAGUGGCGAAGGCGGCUCACUGGCUCGAUACUGACGCUGAGGUGCGAAAGCGUGGGGAGCAAACAGGAUUAGAUACCCCAGUAGUCCC